CGUUCUUUACCAGAUACGACGCUUUGGUUUUUUGCAAGAAGAGUUACUGGAUCAAACUGACAGAUGGAUGUGAGUCUAAUGCUGUUGUGGCCUGCUGUAGUAAACUGAUGUUAAAUAAGCCUUUGGUUGAUGGUGCUUAUGCCUGAGGGAUUUGGUUCCAAGAAGACUGAAGCCAAAAAUCUAUAACAAUGUGGGGUAGUUGCAGCUGAUUUAUUUUUUUGUUGGUGGUGGUGUUUUCUUUUGGGGCCAAAUAUCAACUGGACAAUGGAUAUGCAAAAGGAAAGAUAGUAAGUAAAAGUGCAUAGGUUAGGUUAGUCAUUCAUGGUUGAUUAUUGUGUAAUGUGCAUAUGCAGCAAAGUAUUUAAUAUUUUAUUUGUUAUGUACAUGUUUUUUUGCUUUCACAAACAAAUUGUUCUUGACUUAAAUGCAAUAAUUUGGAAGAGUUUCUUCUUUAAAA